ACUUGAAUUGAUCACACAUCUUUAUAACUCCUGAUCUCUUCUUUUUCAGCAAUAAGCAUUUUCUUUGCCCUUGGGCACACAGAAAAUUUUAACCUGUUCCACUUACCCAUAAAAUGGGAUCUUAGUAUUUAUGAAGGUAGUAAGGAGAGACAUCACAGCACGAAGACUUCAGUCUUCUGCCCAGCUGCUGGAAAAUACAUAGAGUGAGACAGAGAGAGAAUGGGCAGCAAACUGACCUGCUCCUGAGAUGUGCUGCUCAAAUAGUCUCUCUUCAGCUUGCCAAUUUGGAGAUAUUGCCCCUUCUGCUAUGUGUGUGGCAUUGAAGAAAUAUUUGAAAU
rnacentral:lncRNA from 1 species